GUCUAGCUGCUGCUGCUGCUGCUGCUGCUGCUGCUGCUGCUGCAGUUGUUUCUGCAGCAGCAGCUGCUGCUGCAGCUGCUGCUGCGGUUGCUGCAGCUGCAGUUGUCGCUGGCCUGCAGCAGCUGCAGCAGUUGCUGCUUAUGCAGCUGCGGCUGCUGCAGUUGCUGAUGCCUCACGUGCAGCUGCUGCAGUAGCAGCUGCUGCAGUAGCAGCUGCUGCAGUAGCAGCUGCAGCAGCUGCUGCUGCUGAAGCUGCUGCUGCAGGCACUACCCCAGCAGCAACGGCGA
rnacentral:ncRNA from 1 species